GUCGCCUACGGGGCGCAGCAGUGGGGAAUAUUGCGCAAUGGGGGAAACCCUGACGCAGCGACGCCGCGUGCGGGAUGAAGGCUUUCGGGUUGUAAACCGCUUUCAGCAGGGAAGAUAAUGACGGUACCUGCAGAAGAAGCCCCGGCUAACUACGUGCCAGCAGCCGCGGUAAUACGUAGGGGGCAAGCGUUAUCCGGAUUCAUUGGGCGUAAAGCGCGCGCAGGCGGGCCGCUAAGCGGGACCUCUAAUCUUGUGUCUCAA
rnacentral:rRNA from 1 species